UACGUAGGUGGCAAGCGUUGUCCGGAUUUACUGGGCGUAAAGAGCGCGCAGGCGGUCGUUCAAGUCGCGUGUGAAAGCCCCCGGCUCAACUGGGGAGGGUCACGCGAUACUGAUCGACUCGAAGGCAGGAGAGGGUAGUGGAAUUCCCGGUGUAGUGGUGAAAUGCGUAGAUAUCGGGAGGAACACCAGUGGCGAAGGCGGGUCUCUGGGCCGAUACUGACGCUGAGGAGCGAAAGCGUGGGGAGCGAACAGG
rnacentral:rRNA from 1 species